rnacentral:rRNA from 1 species
CGGUCCUAAGGUAGCGAAAUUCCUUGUCGGGUAAGUUCCGACCCGCACGAAUGGUGUAACGAAUUGGGCGCUGUCUCAACGUGAAGCCCGGUGAAAUUGAAGUAUCGGUGAAGAUGCCGAUUACCCGUGGUUAGACGGAAAGACCCCGUGAACCUUUACUGCAGCUUGGCAUUGAAAUCUGGGCUAACAUGUGUAGGAUAGGUGGGAGACAAUGAAACAUGGUCGCUAGAUUGUGUGGAGUCGUUGGUGAAAUACCACCCUUGUUAGUUUAGGUUUCUAACGUGAUCCAUGAAUCUGGGUUAUGGACAAUGUCAGGUGGGCGGUUUGACUGGGGCGGUCGCCUCCUAAAGAGUAACGGAGGCGCGCGAAGGUCACCUUAGACUGGUUGGAAAUCAGUCGUCAAGUGCAAAGGCAAAAGGUGGCUUGACUGCGAGACAUACAAGUCGAGCAGGUACGAAAGUAGGUCUUAGUGAUCUGGCGGUAGCGCGUGGAAGCGCCGUCACUUAACGGACAAAAGGUACUCCGGGGAUAACAGGCUUAUCCUGCCCAAGAGUUCAUAUCGACGGCAGGGUUUGGCACCUCGAUGUCGGCUCAUCGCAUCCUGGGGCUGAAGCAGGUCCCAAGGGUUUGGCUGUUCGCCAAUUAAAGCGGUACGUGAGCUGGGUUCAGAACGUCGCGAGACAGUUCGGUCCCUAUCUGCCACGGGCGAUGGAUGUUUGAGAGGAGCUGUUUUUAGUACGAGAGGACCGAAAUGGACGAACCUCUAGUGUACCAGUUAUCGUGCCAACGGUAAGUGCUGGGUAGCUACGUUCGGAAGGGAUAACCGCUGAAAGCAUCUAAGUGGGAAGCCCACCUCAAGAUGAGACAUCCCAGGGGAUUUUAAUCCCCCUGAAGACUCCAGAGAGAAUAUCUGGUUGAUAGGCUGGAAGUGUACGCACAGUAAUGUGUUGAGCUGACCAGUACUAAUUAGUCGUGAGGCUUGACCAU